rnacentral:rRNA from 1 species
UAGUGAGUUUGAUCCUGGCUCAGAUUGAACGCUGGCGGCAGGCUUAACACAUGCAAGUCGAGCGGUAGCAGGCCUUCGGGUGCUGACGAGCGGCGGACGGGUGAGUAACGCGUAGGAACCUGCCUGAUAGUGGGGGAUAGCCCGGCGAAAGCCGGAUUAAUACCGCAUACGCUCUACGGAGGAAAGGGGGCUUCGGCUCCCGCUAUCAGAUGGGCCUGCGUAGGAUUAGCUAGUUGGUAGGGUAAAGGCCUACCAAGGCGACGAUCCUUAGCUGGUCUGAGAGGAUGAUCAGCCACACUGGGACUGAGACACGGCCCAGACUCCUACGGGAGCAGCAGUGGGGAAUAUUGGACAAUGGGC